AAGGGCUUUCUAGAGCAGGCAACUAUUUCAUGAUAAGGGGUGGCAACAUCAAGGGUUUUGUUGCUUCAGACUGGUUCCUAAAAUGAGAGAUCAACUACAAACCCAAGCCUGAAGCAGAGGAAUGAAAACGGGGCAGUUACCACAUGUGGCAGCACCACCACAGAAGAAAUGAAACUCUUCAUGAGUGAGUCUCAGAACGUCUUUUCCACUUUGUCCUGACGUUCACAGAGGUUGCCUGCUACCCUGAACUUGCAAUCAGCAAGCAUUUCAGAAGCCCUUCUAGCCCCUUGCCCUUCCAGACAAAGAAGAGAAGCACAGACAGUUUAAAUGAUCUGCCUAAAUUCACCAGCUAAUUAGUGGCACAGCCAAGAUCUGAAGUCAGGCAGUCUGGCUGCAGGCCCCAACCAAGCUGAAAU
rnacentral:lncRNA from 1 species